UUAAGAAUUUGGCUUUAAGAUUAAGUUGAAAGAAUUUUUUGUGAAGCAAAUUUUGCAUUUUUCUCCCCUUUUUUGUAAUAUAAAAAAGAAUGUUUGCUUGAAAAACUAGGGGAAUAAGGGCACAAUACUUAAACAUUUGAAGACAUUAAGAAAAAAAUGAAGCAACCAAAGACAAACAAAAGAAAAAUAAACAAUGGCAGUACAUUUUAAACAAAAGCAUCCAAAUGCAAUAAAGAUAAAAAAAAAAUCCCAAAGCAACCAAAUAUACAACCAAUAUUAAUAUCCCAAAUAUCCAAAGAAAGACAAC
rnacentral:lncRNA from 1 species